CUAUUAUAUAACAAUUAUUAAUGAUACAUUUUUUUUUAUCGAGAACUUUUAUGUGGAUACAAUCAUAUUCUUUGAUGUGGAUCGAAACAACUGUCAAAAUGCGUUGCAUUGCAUUGUAGCUGGAAACAAAUUAUGAGACGCGACGCGUCCGCGGACGCAUGGCCACUGCUGCGAUGUAGAAUCUACAGUGGCGUCUACAUUGUAGAUAAGAUAAUGAAUAUACUCGGAAUUGUGCAAACUAUCGGACGUAACGUAAGCCAUGGACAUGGCCUUGAGCGUUUGGUUUCAGACAUAAAACCUGGCCGCCAGAUGUUUUAAGACUGCAAGUCGCGGUCGUCAGCCACGUCCGUAUGACGCGUCCCAUAAUUUGUUUCUAGCUUAAUGCAAAUGUCAAAGAAACUAGAAACUUAGAAAGUUUUAGCAACCGUUCGGUUGACUUUUAUUGGGCAUUUUUAGCGUGUGCGUGUUUCUUUUGAACUUCAGUUUGCCAAUGCGCUUGAAUCAGUGGCAAAGAGUAUUAUUAGUAUAUUUCAGUGGACUGGGCUGCGGUGGUAGAACGCUCGAGGCACGAUUGUCACAGGCUCGCGCAAUCACUACUUAACAUAUUAGUUGACAAAUUUAACACAUGUUUUCCUAUACUUACGUAAACAACCACAACAGCACAGGAGGGCUGAAGCCUCAGUGCAGCACCUGUUUUGACUCCCAGUGAGAAUGAGUGACAGUCUGCCAAAGACAGUAGUUACUUGCAGUUUGCACAAAUACCCUUCACAUGAUUGCAAUAAUGCAGAUGAAUCUAAGUGUAUUGGUAACUUCACCAUCCUGUAUAGCCGAAGAAGCACCUGUAUGUCCACCAAAAACCAGAGCACAUAAUAUAUAAAAGAACAAGUACAGAAGGCUCACAGUCAACAACCUGUCAACGGACUGCAUGUGACAUUGAGUUCUAUUGCGAAGCGAGAAGGUCAUCAAACUAUGGGCCGGGAACUCUUAGCCGCCGGAAUGUAUGAAAGAAAUGUGGAGUGAGCCACCCCCGACAAGAGUUAUUUUUUUAUAAUAAUCAGAUAGAACUGUCACAAAUAGAAGAGUUAAAAUUCACUGCAAUUGAUCAACCACAGAUUUUGUAUAAAAAAAAUGCCUAUGUGAUUAAUGUUGAGUGUAUUCUGAAUAUUUUAUGAAAUACCUAUAUUUUUGUUUUAUUUGUAUAAAUGAUUGCAUCUCUUCUAAAUAUACUGA
rnacentral:lncRNA from 1 species